CAAUUUGAUUUAAAUCGUCAUUCAAUAUAAAAAAAAAAAGAUGCAUUAACGAAGAAAUAAAUAUAACUUGAAAAUUGAAACUGAUCAUUUCUGUUUUAUAAAAAAAAAUACAUUCUUAAGGGACUUACUAGACUAGUUGGUUUAACAUGUUUAAUGAAUGGGUUAAACAGGUACCAUGCAAAGAUUAGAAAAUGUUUAUUUUACGGGGCACAUCAUUUCAAUCUUGAAGUCUGUAUUAAGGUAUAUGAAUUUAUCAUUUACGUUUUAUUUUUACCAUCACGAUCUGGUUGACCAUUAUUGAAUGUUUAUUUCACAAAUGUUUAAAGACAUGCUUCCGUUGUCGUACAUGUACACUUAUUUAAGACAAAUCAUUGGUCGUAUAGGUACUGCAUUAUUUUCCAUUUGCUCAUCAUUUGCAAUAGAUUUGGAAACCGUGAACAUAAAUCUGCCAUAGAUUAGGAUAUUACAAAACUUGCCAUAGAUUAGGAUUAUAAAAAAUCUGCCAUAGAUUUGGGAUGGCAUGACGUCACAUUUGCCAUAGAUUAGGAAUCUGCCAUAGAUUUGGAACCCACCAUAGAUUUGAGUCCUAC
rnacentral:lncRNA from 1 species